GAUGAAGAACGUAGCGAAAUGCGAUAAGUAAUGUGAAUUGCAGAAUUCAGUGAAUCAUCGAAUCUUUGAACGCACAUUGCGCCCUCUGGUAUUCCGGGGGGCAUGCCUGUUCGAGCGUCAUUAUAACCCCUCAAGCUCAGCUUGGUGUUGGGGCCUGCUGCACUGGCAGCCCUUAAAAUCAGUGGCGGCGCCAUCUGGCUCUAAGCGUAGUAAUUCUUCUCGCUAUGGAGUCCUGGUGGAUGCUUGCCAUCAACCCCCAAUUUUUCUAUGGUUGACCUCGGAUCAGGUAGGGAUACCCGCUGAACUUAAGCAUAUCAAUAAGCGGAGGA
rnacentral:misc_RNA from 1 species